rnacentral:misc_RNA from 1 species
UCAAAAGGAUGCCCUAACAGAUUGAAGAAGAUCCAGAACUAAUGUCCGGUCAGGCAUGCUAGGAAUUGCUCCCUUCACUUGAACACAAAGAGAAGCUGCUGCCGCAGCAAAUCUCAUGCACUCCUCUUUUGUCUUGCCCUCCACCAAAGCCACGGCAAAAGCAGCAGUAAAAGUAUCUCCAGCACCUGUAGUGUCAAUGACUCUUGCAGCACGUAUUAUAGGUUGUCUAAUUGGUUUUUGACCUUCUACAAAUAAAGCUGAUCCUUUGACCCCAAGUUUCACUAGGACUUCCCUGACUCCCUGAAAUUCAACAUAGCAAUCUAUGAUACAUUAGAAAAGUAUAUCGUUUGGCAUUUUCAAAAAGCUUUCUAUUUGCUCUGUUGCCCUUUUCACUGCCAACUUGUAUCGCUACCUAAACAGAAACGAAAAAGGAUGAGAAGAAUUCCCCAAGUAAGUUGAACAUUGAAUAUUUCUGUUCUUUAUUGUAUUGAAUUUACUUGUUCAAUGAAUCAUCAAAAUCAAUUCUUAGGCCAAUGACAUGGGAUUUCAAAUUAUUUACUAUAAGUUGGAUUUGGAUGUUUGUGAUCUUCACAAGGAAUAACUGCAGUAGAAAGUCGAGGCUUGGUGGAAAAAAAAAAAAAUUACCCAUGAAAAUAGCCCAAAAUUGAAAUUAAUAAUCAAACUGAACUGAACUGUACAGUUCAGUUUUCCUCUUAAUCUCAGUUCAAUCUAUAUCACAAAUUAUAAGAAUGUCAGUUAUUCUGAUUUGAAGAAUUUCAGAAAUUGGACCAAAUCUGACCAAUGCAUACUUCUAAUUGUUGGAAUAAAACACUUAUCAAGAAUGUUUUAAACAUCAAAUAACAAGAAGCAUAGUUGAGAUUGAAUGAAGAGAGCAUGCCUUGAAAACGUUAAAAGAUAAAGAAUGAUCCACACCAAUUAAAUAAGAACCAAAAAAUCUAUGCGAAUGUGGAUGCAUGAGCAAGAGAGGAAUUGUGUACACCCCACUACAAAAGGAAAAUAAGGAACUAGCUGAUUAAGCCCAAGGCCGAUUACUAAAUUAACGUAGGCCAGCCAUUUUGGACCAUGUGGUUUGAGCUGAAUUUUAUCGGACUACCCAGUUUAGGUGUUUUGGACUAUUACAAGUGGGAUGAGGAUACUCCAGGAAUAGGUCUGCAAAACCUGUGAAUUCAAACGGAAAGAAUUGCUCAUUGAAUAUUCUAAAAGCACACAAUGAGAAACCUCCAUCCUUGCAGUAUCAGCACAACCAAGGUCAAAUUCUUGACAUGAGACCACUUACAUAAGCAAAAGAGCAACAAGGAAGAGGAUGCAACAACCCCACCGGGCCCACCCUUCAAAGCUCAACAUUAGUCAACAAGCAAGGAAUAGUUAGUUUAUACAAUGCAAGCCCAAAGCUGUGAACUAACACCAUGUCACUACAAACUAUUUUCAUUUUGAAGCCAUGAAGCAAAUCCAACAUCCAAUGACAGAAAACAAAUAACUUCAGCAAUGAACCAAAGCUGACAAAUUCAAGGAAUGACCAUGGUGGAGAUGAUAGAAAUGGGAGCUUAGGUCAUCCUCAACAACAAGCUUAAAGAGUUUUCUUAAGAACUUGCUCUCAGUGGCAGGAUAUAGAUAAAAGUUUCUUUGCAAAGCACAGGUAGGAUCAAGUCAUUUUAACACAGAUUCAUCUCAGCUAGUACAACUCAAUGAACAAAAUGGCACCACUUGUCAUUUGGUUGAAAUAGCAAGGAAUGGAACUGGCAUCUUGCUUACGGUGGAUGAGUAGCAUUUUUUGGGAUGCAUCAUGCAUGAAAGUAAAUUAGAGUUUAAGGUGAUUUAAGCAAUGUGAUUAAGGCUUGGAUCAAGUUAUGUGGAAAUACCUAACUAACAUAAGAGCAAGAGAAGAGAGGGUAAGAAAGGAAAAGAGGAAGUGAAUAAAAAGAAGAAAAGAGAGGAAAUUUAAUUUUGAAAGCAGAAGCAUAUUUACAUAAGCAUGCUAAAUAGACACCAAAAUAAGACCUUCCCAAAGAAGACAUCAAAUGAUAAAUAGACAUAAUCAUAAGCAUACGUUAAUAUACUAGGUGGUCAAACGCAUCUUCCAAGCACACAACCUGAUAAACAAAUCUGUUAAUCCCAAUAAAACCUGAAUUUUCAAACUUAAUAGUCAAACAAAAGGUGUUUCCAAAUUUUCUUUCCUUAUUUAAAACACCCUCCUUAAGUGUACUCACAUAAUCUGAUUUCAUUGAUAGAGAAAACAUUUGGUUAGAGAAGGAAACUUCAGGGCAAAGAAACUGCAGCAAUAUUUAAUUGCAUGCCACACCAUGACUUCACUAGUUAAUCUAAUAACUCAUAUACAACUCAUGUAUAUCAUGGAAUAAUUUACAUACUCAAACUUAGUAGGAUUCCUACCCAACUGCUCUAGCAUAUUUAGGCAUCUACUAUUUUGAAUGACCCUAUUUGUGUUUCACAUAGAAGAAUCAACCCAUAAUCUUUUAAUGGGAGUGGAGGGAAAUAAGAGCUACUCAUGGCAGGUAAUGAUAUAUCAAAACAAAUAUUUAUUUCAUGUAUUUGACAUGAUUAUUAUAUUCAACCAUCCUCUAUACAAUCACCCACUUUAAUAAUGACCUAAUUUUGUGGAUAUAUAAAACAUUAAUAGACAAUCAGAUUUGCAUAAUUCACACAGAAUCAAAAUCAUAAACUUUAACAACUUAAUGCAGCAGUUAAGUUGUCAUUAGAACAAAAACAUAACCUAUAAAAGUAUUUUGUCAAAUCUUCAAAAUGUAGAAAGAAUAAUCAUGCUAGGUACAGAAAAAAGUGAUAUAAGAUAAAGCUUGUUUAGGUGUUACAUACUAACCAUUUCAUGACACUUAGUAACAGCCUGACCAAUUUGUUCAAAGUUUUCAGUAGGCAUGCCAGUUAUACGUCCAAGUUCACUUUCAUUUGGGCUGAAGAUGUCAACAACAUUCAACAGUUCCAAGGGUAUAGGUGCAUCCAUUCCCCCAGCAUCGAAAAUGACAGGAACACCAGCACUCUUCGCAGCCUAGAGACAUGGCAGCAUCAGAAUGUGAAAGAAAUGACUACAAGAAAAUAGGAGAAACCUAAGGAAGCACAAAUUAUAAUAUCUCAGUACAACAUUGAUGAUAAAAGGAAUAACCAAAGAAUGUCUAAGCAAUCCCUAAAGCCUAUGUAAAAUUCAAUAAUCAAAUUGACAAAUAUGCCAAUAAAAAAAAGAUAAGAAAAAAAGAUAAUGAUUUUUUUAGAUAACUAAGUGGUCAAAAAAAAAUUCAUAUCAUAUAAGAUCAGUCAACCAUCAACAGAUAAUAGUAUUAGAGGUUUAUCAUAGCGUAUCAUAACAAUUAUAUACCAUUACCAAAUUAAAAUCAAACGGCCACAUAAAGCUGAAGAAUUUGGAAAAUUGUUGCUGCUAAAAUGAUCAACUGGACUCUACAGAACAGAAAUGAUGGUUGAAUGGCUAUACUUUAACUGAAGUUAUAAGAUCUAGAUUGAUGUGCCAUCUUAAGAAACAAUGAAAUCAAGUGCCCAAAACAAAGAAAUAUAAAAUGGCAAUCAUUAUAUUAAGCAAUCAACCCUGCUUCUAGGCCAGUUACUUAAAAAUUAAGCUGAAGCAGGUAUAAUGCCCAAUAUCUCAUGGACUUGGCAGGGCCUUGUUCCACAAAGUUCCACUUUUGUGGACUAAUUUAAUUUAAUAAAAUAAACAAAGAAAAAAUCAUGGACAUUUCCAUGCUAUAGCAGAAGUAGCUGCCAAACAACACUGGACAACCAUAUCAGACUGUCACAGCACCGCUCAGCUACCUAUCCUGGACCCAAAAAGCUGAUUCAGUAUCACUCUUCAUUUCUUUUGAUUAUUUAUACUGCCCACAGUGCCAUAAUGCACUAGCUAUGUAGAUCUAAGUGAAAUUUUCCCAGCAAAAACUUUGAAUCA